GGGGCUGACGUGGAUUUGACAGCUUGGCAAAGUGGUGUGUAAGCAUGUCGAGCGUUGUGGUACCGGCUCGUUAAUCCCGGAUCUCAAACUUUUUUAAUUGGCGAAAAUAAUUACGCUCUUGCUGCUUAAUCGAAGUAUAGUAGAUAAGCCCAAUUUCGGCAUAAGAUGCUGAAACAAGACAUCUCCCGGGUGCUAACGUUCUGAGGCGGCCCGAUUCGGAGAUGCUGGUAAAUCGGAACUAGAAAACAGGAUGUCUUGCACUGUUUUCGAAAUUUAAGAGACUAAGGUAGUAAUCGGUGGCUUUGAUCCAGUUGCUACCCGACAAUUAAGUCAAAGCUAAGCAUGUAGAAAGCACAUGGCUUCCUUGUCUGGACCGGGGUUCGAUCCCCCGCAGCUCCACUA
rnacentral:tmRNA from 1 species